rnacentral:lncRNA from 1 species
AUGCAUGGAUGGGACCAUCUCGUGACUUCUCAGGGACUGCUGUGGGCCCAGAUUCACAGACAGGGAAACGGAGGUUUAGGAGGCAGAGAAACUGCUGGUGCCCCUGCCCGGGGUCAAGAAUUCCUGAGCAUCUUCCUGGGCCAGGCCUCUGAACCCACCGUGCUCCCUGAAUCCAUCAGUCUCUCAGAGCCCGGACCAGCCUCCCAACUGUCCCACAGCCCCGGGUCUGCCCCAGCCUCCCUCCCCACUGUCCCACAGCCCUGGGUCUGCCUCAGGGCCUGGGGGGGCGGGUCAGCCACCUCUCUGCCCAGCUCAGCCCAGGCCUGGCCAGCAAAGGGGGGCUCGCCAGGAUCAGGGUUAUGCAAGAGAGGCCGUCCUGUCCCUCUAGGGGACAGCUGGAUGCUGCUAACCCAGAGCCCUGAGUGGGCCUCGUUCAAGGGCCCCUGCAGAGACGGCAGAACAGGACUCAGUGGGCGAGGGCUCUGUCCACACCAUCCCUGGCCGUGGUUCUCAGUGUCCCCCACCCCAGAGGGCCACUCUGGCCUUCAGGUUCCAACCGGGAGGUGUGAGGGGGCGGCCCCCAGGCCCGGGCAGGAGGCUCAGUCUCUGGCCGUGACCUCCACUGUGCCGGGGCAUGGGGGCUGUCGGAGCUCAGGCCCAAGACAGAACUGGCCCUGUCUGCUGGCUUUCCUCUGCCUGGGAGGGGUCCUGGGAGCCCUGUGUGCUCUGCGGGUGGGCCAGUGGUUGGUGGCCUCCCAGUCAGCCAGUCCCGGUGUCAUUCUGUGGCUGCCCUGGACCACGUACUGCCAGGCACCUUGGGAACCCCGAGGUUAGCAAAGCAGAGACAGUCCCACCUUCCAGGGCUGUCAUUUGGGCGGACAGACAGAAAACCUGCAGACAAACCAGCUCAUCCAAGGGCAGGCCAGCCCGAGACCCUCACUCAGCACCCCUCCCCACAGCCCCAAACUCUGGCAGCAGAUGGGAAUGCCUCUCAUCAGUCUGGGCUCUGGCCCCCCGGCAGCUGCCCUCGCGGGGUGGGACCCUCCCUGGCCUGCAAGCACCAGCCUCCGACCUGAGCCUCCCACCCCAGCACGCAGGGCUCUCCCUUCCUUAGAGGCCAACAGUGGAGGCACCCAGACCUCCCCAUGGAGCUACCAGCUCCCGUGGCAAGGGGACAGCUCUCUUCAGCACCCCUAAGCCCUGAAGGUGCCCUGGGCUGGGCCGGCCCCCUCCCCCCCCCAGGAGACUCUGUCUGCUGGUCCUGGAGGCCAGACCCCACCCACUGCCCCUCAGGCUCCCAGUUCCUCGACAUCCCCACUGCCUCUGGCUGGCUCCUCGCCUUGGCCAGUGGUGGAGAAGAGAGGAAUACUGAUCCGAGUGGAAUAUCAAAACAUCAAAUGCUCAGGCUCAUCUCCCGCAGCCGGGGAAGGAGCGAGCAGCAGGGGAGCGAGGUGCUGCGCACAGGCCCGCUGCCCCAAGGUGGAGCCUGCACCCCAGGGCCGCCCCCCACAUGCUGCCCUGCCCACUGGAUCUCUCCCUGCGGGGAGGGCCUGCAGCCCCACGGGACACAUCCUUUCAAAGCUUUGGCUGAAGCCUCUGGCUGGUGAGGUUCAGUGAAAGACUCUCUCUCCUC